UAGCUCAGUGGUUGAGUGCGGUGCUGACAAAAAUGACAACACCGAAGUCGCAGGUUCGAUUCCUGC
rnacentral:tRNA from 1 species